rnacentral:lncRNA from 1 species
AUAAAGGUUCAGCCAAGUCAGUUUAUUGAUAGGCCCCUGAUUCGGUUCACCUAUGCUAGAAGAAAGAAGAGCAAUGAUCAUAAAGGUUCAGCCAAGUCAGUUGAGUUUGUUAGUGAGGGGUAAAAAUGUAAUAAUUUGUUAUAGGAAAGUAAAUAAAUAGGGAGGGUCAGUAGGCAGGAGAGGCAUGAAAAAUCUGAUUUUCUGUUGAGAAUAGGAAGGAGAGACAGGGCCUCUCAAAUAGCCCUGGACUUGUAUUUUUCUGUUUUCCUUCACCUGAAUUCAGUAAUAAAUCAUUCAUUUCACUGCGUUUGUGAGUUACUUCCGGUCUAAGCAGGUGGGAUUCUACCAUUUUGCCAAUCCAGUACAAAGAAAAGCUGAAGAGAGGAAAAGUCUGGAUUUUAGCUGGUUACUAAAGACAAUGAAUAAUAAUGGUGGUUCUGUCCCUAUGAGAAGAAAAGCCAAGGGCAUUAAUUGGAUCGAUGGCUCAGGCAGGCAAAUCCUUACUCAUUAUGAUGACCUGCUAAAUAGAGCUGACUUUGAUGCUAAAGAGAAGGAUGUGACUAUGGAAGACGAGGCUGCCAGAAACCCACUAGUGUUUAAGUGGAAGUGGUCAUGGUUUCUAUUUGUAAUUUUUGUUUGGUGUUUGUUGAAUGGACGCACUGGUAUUGUUAAGUCUGAUUCUGUGAACCUACAUAUGUGUGAUUCCCAUUAAAUAUUUACUCAUUUUUAUCACUGUUAUAUCGUUUCAACUUUUGAGAUGCUGAAAGAAGUGUUCCUGUCUGAACAAGUUCAUUAGGGUGGAGUUUCGAGUGAAAAUCGGUUUGGGACGAUUCUAUUUAAUUUUCAGUUUGCAGAACCAGGAGUGAUCUACAGAAUUAAUUCCAGAAACAUUGUGAAAUUUAUAAUCAGAUGAUCCAGGAAAAGAAAAAUCACAUAUGCAUUAGCAUUAGUUCAAGGCAGUCAGAACCAGCGGAAUGUAAAUUAGUCCGUCUGUCAAUAACUUUCAGUUUUCAAUCUCAGUUCAGUUUUAAGAAUUACUCA